GUCUUCGUGGCGCAGUUGGUUAGCGCGUCAGUCUCAUAUCAAUUUCGAUAUGAUCCAGUGUCUAGUAUUGGGCUAUCUGAAGGUCAUGAGUUCGAGCCUCAUCGAGGACA
rnacentral:tRNA from 1 species